GUGAGCUUCCCGGAGGUGCUUUACGGCUGCGUUUGCAAAGCGCAGCGCCAAGUACUGGAGGGCGAGUCAGAAAGGCUCUCGCCAGAGAGCUGCAGGAUGGAGGAGAUCAAAGACUUGACGGUUCUACUGGCCCGGGAUGUUCCAUGUUCAAGGGAAGGAGGGAGGAGUCCCCAAAACACUGAUCUGCACUGAACACACAGACAAUGGCCAGACCAUAUGGAAAAACAGACCUCGGACAUCCACAGCCUGCAGAAACCCGGCCAGGAAAUCACCUCCUCAAAUACAGUAAACCACCCAGGACCAGCCAGAGAGUCAAAUAUGCACCCCCAACCAGUCAUACAGGAUGCCUGGCUUAUAGUCACCUGCCUUCCAGCUUCCGCACGCCAACAGCCUCCAGAGAAGGCACCAGGUUCCAGGUGCCACUGCCACAGACUGACCUGGUGUGUCCCCGCCAGCUCCUCCGCCACGUCCCUCCUCUGGGCGUGUGACCCUGGCUGCGGCAAGGUCAGAGCAAGAAAGACGGACUGACCUUUGCUCCAGGAUAUUUGUCAGCUUCUCUCAGUGAAUAAACAGCUUUGCCGUCACCAACACAGUCUUUCUGGAAACUCAGCUGG